rnacentral:rRNA from 1 species
GGCUCAGGACGAACGCUGGCGGCGUGCCUAACACAUGCAAGUCGAGCGGGGACAUGCGACGGAUAGGAAGAUUCGGUUGGACUUGAAGAUGCAUUGUUCUAGCGGCGGACGGGUGAGUAACGCGUGAGCAACCUGUCCCUUACAGGGGGAUAACACAGCGAAAGUUGUACUAAUACCGCAUAAGACCACGGGAGGACAUCCUCCAGGGGUCAAAGGAGGAAUCCGGUAAGGGGUGGGCUCGCGUCCGAUUAGAUAGUUGGUGAGGUAACGGCCCACCAAGUCGACGAUCGGUAGCCGACCUGAGAGGGUGAUCGGCCACAUUGGGACUGAGACACGGCCCAAACUCCUACGGGAGGCAGCAGUGGGGAAUAUUGGGCAAUGGGGAAACCCUGACCCAGCAACGCCGCGUGAGGGAAGAAGGUUUUCGGAUCGUAAACCUCUGUCCUUGGUGAAGAGGAAGAGACGGUAGCCAAGGAGGAAGCCCCGGCUAACUACGUGCCAGCAGCUGC